rnacentral:rRNA from 1 species
UAGGGAAUCUUCCACAAUGGACGCAAGUCUGGUGGAGCAACGCCGCGUGAGUGAAGAAGGGUUUCGGCUCGUAAAGCUCUGUUGUUAAAGAAGAACGUGGGUAAGAGUAACUGUUUACCCAGUGACGGUAUUUAACCAGAAAGCCACGGCUAACUACGUGCUAG